AUGAAAGUGUACCAGGAGAGAAUAGAGCGCUACAGGAAGGUUUUCCAGCAGCACAAAGAGAGUUACUGCAAGAACCCUCUGGCCAAGCAGCUACUGAUGAUUCAGUCAGGAAAAGAAGAGCUGGAAAGCAGGAUUAAAGCUUGUGAGGACCAGAUAACAGCCAAAGAGAAGGCUCUGCAGGAUCUACUAGGUCAAACAUUGUCCAUCGAAAACCCAUUGGAAAGCAUCUCUGGUCUAUUGACGACAGCAGAGUCUCACAGACAGCCAUCGGCUCAGACUGAGGAUGACCAUCAGUCUCCACUAGACAUCUCCUCCCUCCAUGUUUCCCAGGAUGGCCAUGAGAAACACGGAGAGGGAAUUGAAGAGCAUCUAGAGAAGACCGUUGCUCACCCUCCAUCACAUGAAGACACACACUGUGACCUGUGGUCAUACCCAGAGGCAAUGGAUGGAAUACACGCUUCAGACCAGGAGGAGGGAAGUUUACUAGAGGAACAGAAGGAGUGUCUGAACACCUCCAGUACAGUGGGGAUGGAGGAGGUGAAGGAGAGGGGGAUUGAGGGAGGAGAAGAACAGCCUACACCCCUCAUUACUGAGGCGGAGGAGAAUGAAGGGAUGGGAGCAGCAUUCUCUCCUCAGACUCCUGCUAGAAUGAAAGCUGUGUCCAGCACCCCAACCUUUUCCCUGAAGAGCCUCCUUUCCCCUUCAGCAGCUCAUAUUUCAGCAGUGAAAAGAAACCGUCAGGAUCCAGAUCGCCAUCAGGCUUCCUGUUUGCCCGGCCAGAGUCGGAGAAGUCAGAAGAUGGAUUUGAGUUCCCCUUCAGCUCUAAGAGUCCUGGUCAACCGUCAACCAGCAGAGAGAAGGGAUCAGGGGCUGGGGACUCCUUCCCUUUCUCCUUUAACUUCUAGCACGUCUUACUGUAAAACUUAA
rnacentral:lncRNA from 13 species